UGGGGAAUAUUGGACAAUGGGCGCAAGCCUGAUCCAGCCAUGCCGCGUGAGUGAUGAAGGCCUUAGGGUUGUAAAGCUCUUUCGCCGGUGAAGAUAAUGACGGUAACCGGAGAAGAAGCCCCGGCUAACUUCGUGCCAGCAGCCGCGGUAAUACGAAGGGGGCUAGCGUUGCUCGGAAUCACUGGGCGUAAAGCGCACGUAGGCGGAUCGUUAAGUCAGGGGUGAAAUCCUGGAGCUCAACUCCAGAACUGCCCUUGAUACUGGCGAUCUCGAGUUCGAGAGAGGUUGGCGGAACUCCGAGUGUAGAGGUGAAAUUCGUAGAUAUUCGGAAGAACACCAGUGGCGAAGGCGGCCAACUGGCUCGAUACUGACGCUGAGGUGCGAAAGCGUGGGGAGCAAAACAGGAUUAGAUACCCUGGUAGUCCACGCCGUAAAACGAUGGAUGCUAGCCGUUGGGGGGUUUACCUCUCAGUGGCGCAGCUAACGCCUUAAGCAUCCCGCCUGGGGAGUACGGUCGCAAGAUUAAAAACUUAAAGGAAUUGACGGGGUCAUAGCUGUUUCCU
rnacentral:rRNA from 1 species